rnacentral:misc_RNA from 1 species
GGGCUGGUCUGACACCGCAGCAUACCUUGUAUUACCUGUUCUCCUCGUCAUAUCUCAGUAUGUAUCGAUGGAACUGAUGAAGCCUCCCCAGACUGAUGAUCCAGCACAAAAGAACACACUCCUUAUUUUCAAGUUUCUUCCCCUCAUGAUCGGUUACUUCUCCUUGUCUGUUCCAUCAGGAUUAUCAAUUUACUGGUUCACAAACAAUGUUCUCAGCACGGCUCAGCAAGUAUGGUUAC